GAUAAACGCUGGCGGCGCACAUAAGACAUGCAAGUCGAACGGACUUAACCAUUAGUUUACUAUUGGAGCGGUUAGUGGCGGACUGGUGAGUAACACGUAAGCAACCUGCCUUUCAGUGGGGGACAACAGUUGGAAACGACUGCUAAUACCGCAUAAUGUCAUUUGGGGGCAUCCCUGGAUGACCAAAGAUUUAUUGCUGAAAGAUGGUCUCGCGUCUGAUUAGCUGGUUGGCGGGGUAACGGCCCACCAAGGCGACGAUCAGUAGCCGGUCUGAGAGGAUGAACGGCCACAUUGGGACUGAGAUACGGCCCAG
rnacentral:rRNA from 1 species